CCUUCAUGUACUGCAGAGCCCCAUUUCUGCAGCAUAAGAUUGAGACAGGAACCUUUCCAGAGCCAUCCUCUCUCUAUUGGCAUCUCUUGCUGCACAUGGGAUAUCCAUGUGGUGUUAAUUACUCCCCAUCCCCUAUGUCCCCACCACCCUGGUGUCAAGUCCCACCUGUGACCUGCAGGUCCAAGGGAGCACUGAGGGUAGACAUUUCCAGCGACUUUUCCUCCUUCCUCUGCUGGUACCCACACGCGUAUGUCCCACGGCUUCUUGCAGAGAUGUUCAGCAGCUUGGAGUAGAUGACCGUAUGCUGAUGGGCUUUCAUGCUGUAAAACUCCAUCCCAUCCUUGCAGAAGACAAUUCGCACAGCAGGAACCAGCGUCUGAAGGAUACAUUGAGCCAGGACGAUUUCCCCUUCCUGAGCUCUUGAAGUGUUAAGGACCAGGACUGGAGCCUGGAGAGUACCUGGAGAGAUGGCACAGGGAUUCCACCACAAUCGUUAGUUGCAAAACACACUGCACUCAAUGCGUGGAGAAUCUGCUCUCCAGGGGUGGAUAAUGGGAAUACGGGGGAAAACGAUGCCUUUCUCUCUCCCCAUCUCCACCCCCACCAUGUCUUCAUUUUCUGGACCCAUUCUCACACUCACCAUCAGUCCUGGAGCUACAGAUGUCCCAGGUGUUCACACCAGUACCUACACCGCGGGACAGAGAGAGUCUUGUUUGGAGGGACAACGUCCUGCUCAUCCACAUGUUCCCCGCCCAUGUCCCCAGUGUGAUUGUAUGCACCAUCCCACCUGCAUGUCUCCGUAUUGCUUCUUUUCUGUGUCUCUGAGCCAGCUCGGGUCCAUUUGUAUUGUGUUUGCUGCUUCAAGUACAGUCCCCUAUCUUUCUAAAGCACACAGCAUUCCCAUCUCUCAUAUUUUUGGAGCAUGUCUCCAUUCUGCACCGGCUUCACUUCUACCUAUUGGCACCAUCCCAAGCCUAUUUCUGGGAGAUUUCCUCCUCUUCAGAGAGUUCUUUUCUCCCCACAGCAUCCCCAACUCACCGACCACCAGCAGCAGGAGGGCAGGAACAGAAGGACUUGGUAUGGACCAUCCCGCUUGC
rnacentral:lncRNA from 1 species